CAGUCGCCACGGUAAUACGAAGGGUGCAAGCGUUAAUCGGAAUUACUGGGCGUAAAGCGUGCGUAGGCGGUGAGUUAAGUCUGCUGUGAAAUCCCCGGGCUCAACCUGGGAAUGGCAGUGGAUACUGGCUCGCUAGAGUGUGUCAGAGGAUGGUGGAAUUCCCGGUGUAGCGGCGAAAUGCGUAGAGAUCGGGAGGAACAUCAGUGGCGAAGGCGGCCAUCUGGGACAACACUGACGCUGAGGCACGAAAGCGUGGGGAGCAAACAGGAUUAGAUACCCCAGUAGUCCCUGUCUCUUAUAC
rnacentral:rRNA from 1 species